AUAGGGAUGCUUUGUCUGCUACAGUGUCUGGGGCAACUGCUGGAAGACAGAGGUUGAAGGUGACUUGAUAGUUGAAGGCUGAAAUCACCUGAAGUCUUGGUAAUAGUCUGUGGAAGCCUGUUGUUGGCUGGAACCUUCGCUGGGGCUGUUGGUCAGAACACAUACAACCUGCAGUACCUACCAACAUGACAGCGUCUCAAGAGGGUCAGGCAGAGCUGUGUUGCCUUCCCUAACCGAGCUUUGGGAGUCACACCUGCCACAUUCUGUUUCUUGAGGCAGUCACAUAGGCACACCCCACCCAAUUUCAAAGGGAAAUCAAGCCUGGCCAGCGUCGUUCAGUUGUUGAAUGUCAACCUAUGAACCAGGAAGUCGAUUUGAUUCCUGAUCAGGGCACAUGUCGGUUGCAAAUCAAUCCCCAGUGGGGGUUGUGCAGGAGGCAGCCAAUCAGUGAUUCUCAUCAUUGAUGUUUCUAUUUCUCCCUCUCCCUUCUUCUCUGAAAUCAAUAAAAAUAUUUUUUUUAAUAAUAAAAAUAAAAUAAAAAAGGGUGUGGGGGAUCGACUCCACUUCUUGAUAGGGGAGUUGCAAGAUUCUGGAAGAGAGUGCAGAACUGGGAAUGUGGCCAGUAUUUGGAAUCACAAUCUGGCACAGUCUAUCAGAUUUCUCUCAGAAUCAGCAGACACCUCCAGGGAAAAGAAAGAAGAUCUCCAAUACUAGGCUCAUCCUGGGCUUUUUUCCUCUCUAGUCUUGGCCCCACAAUUCUUCACUUCCUUGGUAGCUUUACAAUGCCUUUUUAAAAUGUUUUCUCCAGCUUUUUUAGUUAUUCUCAAUGAAAAGGAGUUGGAACCAUAUAACUCAGUCCACCUUCUGAACAGGGUGCCCUAGGCAUUGCUUUUAGAAUGUACACAAUAAAAAGUCUGUAUCCCCAAAGGAACAUAUCGCAUAUUUACUCCUGUCAUAUGCUAACAUUAAACAUUGAACACAUGAAGUUUUAGAAAUGUGAGAAAUAAUAAUGAGGACAUACAAACUAAUUACAACUUCAUUAAAAAAGUUAAUGCAUUUAGAGAAGUACUGGAGAUGUUCAUGAGGUUGAAAAUUAAAGGCAGCCAUGUGUACUUUUUUUGUAAAAUUAAACACUGAUUUUCCCCUCUCCAACAUUUUAUCAUGAAAACCUUCAAACAUAUAUUAAAUUGAAAGAAUUUUACAGUGAAUACCUGUACCACUUGGAGUCUAUCACUGACAUUUUAACAUAUUUAUCACACAUCUUUCCAUCCCUAUAUCCAUCUGGCUACUAUCUUAUUUUUUAAAUUUGAUGUGUUUUUAUUGACUUCAGAGAGGAUGGGAGAGGGAGAGAUAGAAACAUCAAUGAUGAGAGAGAAUCAUUGGUUGGCUGACUCCUGCAGCCCCGAGGCAUGUGCCCUGACUGGGAAUCAAACCAUGACCUCCUGGUUCAUAGGUUGACAUGCAACCACUGAGAUACAAGGGCCGGACAAUCUGUCAUUGUUAAUGCAUUCCAAAGUAAGUUGCAGUCAUUUGCACACCUACCUCUAAAUAUUUCAGAAUGCAUUUCACUAGUUAGAGUUCAUUUGUUUGUAAUUUGUGUUUUUUUCCCAAUCCUAUAUAAUAAAGAGCUAAUAUGCAAAUGGUCCUCAUGCCCUUGAGCCAGAACUGUUCAGACACUCAACACUGGGGAGAGAGGAAUGGGGACCAGCCAGGCACAAAUGAGCUCAUGAGAGAGGAAUGGGGACCAGCCAGGCUGUGGCCCUGGAGAGGGACAAGCUGUCUGCCCUGCAGUCCUGGGUGCCAGUGCCUGUGGCUGCAGCCUGGGCGAACCACCCGCCCACGGUACCCUGUGGCUGCAGCCGGCCGGGUCCUGGGUGCCUGCGGCCAGCCAGAGGGAGGGAAGCCCCGGUCCUGGGUAUCUGCGACCGGCUGGAGGAGGGAAUCCUGGGUCCUGGGUGUAGGGUGAGGCAGAGGUGGUUAGAGGCAAUCAGGCCAGCAGGGGUGCAGUUAGGGAUGACCAGGCUGGUAGGGGAGCAGUUAGGGGCGAUCAGGCAGGCAGGCAGAGGUGGUUAGGGGUGAUCAGGCAGAGGGGUUAGGGGCAAGCAGGCAGGCAAGCGGUUAGGAGCCAGUGGUCCUGGAUUGCGAGAGGCGGUCAGACAUCCCCCAAGGGGUCCCAGAUUGGAGAGGGUGCAGGCUGGGCUGAGGUACACCACCACCACCCCUGUGCACAGAUUUCAUGUACCAGGCCUCUAGUCAAUAUAUAAAAUGUUCAGAUCUUAAGUGUACAUUUGCUAAGUUUUGACAAAUGCACAUAUAUACCUAUAGUGACAUCUUAAAAACAACCAGGAUUUUUUUUUUCUUCAAAUCCUCCACUGAUCAAUUUAUAAAUUUGUGUAAAAUGCCUUCUACCACCCUAGCCGGUUUGGCUCAGUAGAUAGAGUGUCAGCCUGCGGGCCGAAGAGCCCCAAGUUUGAUUCCAGUCAGUGGCACAUGCCUGGGUUGGGGGCUUGGUCCAUCAUGCAGGAGGCAGCCAAUCAAUGAUUCCCUCUCAUCAUUAAUGUUUCUAUCUCUUCCUCUCUGAAAUAAAUAAAAAUAUAUAUU